rnacentral:rRNA from 1 species
AAUUAUCGAAGUUGAUAGCUUCUAAUCUAUCAAACCUUUUUAACUGGUCAAGUUAUUAAGGGUGCAGGGCGGAUGCCUUGGCACUAGGAGCCGAUGAAGGACGUGAUAAGCUGCGAUAAGCUUCGGGGAGUUGCACGUAAACUUUGAUCCGAAGAUUUCCGAAUGAGGAAACUCACUUAGAGUAAUGUCUAAGUAUCAUUAAGUGAAUACAUAGCUUAAUGAGGGGAACUCAGGGAACUGAAACAUCUAAGUACCUGAAGGAAGAGAAAGAAAUUCGAUUCCGUAAGUAGCGGCGAGCGAACGCGGAUUAGCCCAAACCAAUAAAGUUUUCUUUAUUGGGGUUGCGGACAUAUCAUAACGAAGAGGUAUCGUAAUUGAAGAGGUUUGGAAAGACCCACCACAGAAGGUAAUAGUCCUGUAUGUUAAACGAGAAGACUUCAGAUAUGAUCCAGAGUACCACGGGACACGUGAAACCCUGUGGGAAGCAGGAGGGACCACCCUCCAAGGCUAAAUACUACCUAGUGACCGAUAGCGUAUAGUACCGUGAGGGAAAGGUGAAAAGAACCCCGGGAGGGGAGUGAAAUAGAACCUGAAACCCUGCACUUACAAGCUGUGGAAGCACAUUUCUUGUGUGACCGCGUACUUUUUGUAGAACGGGCCAACGAGUUACGUUAAGUAGCAAGGUUAAGCACUUAAGGUGUGGAGCCGUAGCGAAAGCGAGUUUUAACUGAGCGUUCAGUUACUUGACGUAGACCCGAAACCGGGCGACCUACCCAUGAGCAGGAUGAAGCGAAAGUAAAAUUUCGUGGAGGUCCGAACCCACGAGCGUUGAAAAGCUCGGGGAUGACUUGUGGGUAGCGGUGAAAUUCCAAUCGAGCCCGGAGAUAGCUGGUUCUCCCCGAAAUAGCUUUAGGGCUAGCCUCAAGGUGAGAGAUACGGAGGUAGAGCACUGAAUGUCCUAGGGGGUAUUGCACCUACCGAAGACUAUCAAACUCCGAAUGCCGUCAUCUUAUACUUGGGAGUCAGACUGUGGGUGAUAAGAUUCAUAGUCGAAAGGGCAACAGCCCAGAUCGUCAGCUAAGGUCCCUAAAUGUAAGUUAAGUGGUAAAGGAUGUGGGAUUGCACAGACAACCAGGAUGUUGGCUUAGAAGCAGCCACUCAUUCAAAGAGUGCGUAAUAGCUCACUGGUCGAGUGAUCCUGCGCCGAAGAUUUCCGGGGCUAAAACUUACUACCGAAGCUACGGCAUCAGUAAUGAUGGGUAGGGGAGCUUCCCAUACGGGUUGAAGCAUGACCGUAAGGACAUGUGGACAGUAUGGGAGUGAGAAUGUUGGCAUGAGUAGCGAGAUGUGGGUGAGAAUCCCACAGGCCGUAAACCCAAGGUUUCCAGGGGAAGGUUCGUCCGCCCUGGGUUAGUCGGGACCUAAGCUGAGGCCGAAAGGCGUAGGUGAUGGACAACAGGUUGAUAUUCCUGUACUACCGAUAACCGUUUGAGAGAAGGGAUGACACAGUAGGAUAAGCUAAGCACACUGUUGGUUAUGUGUGCCCAAGCAUUGAGGCAGUCAAAGUAGGCAAAUCCGCUUUGAUAAUGCUGGGAUGUGAUGGGGAGCGAAAUUUAGUAGCGAAGUAGCUGAUUUCACACUGUCAAGAAAAGUCUCUAUCGAGGUUAAAGGUACCCGUACCGCAAACCGACACAGGUGGGUGAGGAGAGUAUCCUAAGGCCAGCGAGAGAACUGUUGUUAAGGAACUCGGCAAAAUGACCCCGUAACUUAGGGAUAAGGGGUGCCACCAUCAGGUGGCCGCAGAGAAUAGGCCCAAGCGACUGUUUACCAAAAACAUAGGUUUCUGCUAAGUCGCAAGACGAUGUAUAGGAGCUGACGCCUGCCCGGUGCUGGAAGGUUAAGGGGAUCUGUUAGAGCAAUCGAAGCAGUGAACUUAAGCCCCAGUAAACGGCGGCCGUAACUAUAACGGUCCUAAGGUAGCGAAAUUCCUUGUCGGGUAAGUUCCGACCCGCACGAAAGGCGUAACGAUUUGGGCACUGUCUCAACAACAGACUCGGUGAAAUUGUAAUUCCGGUGAAGAUGCCGGAUACCUGCGACAGGACGGAAAGACCCCAUGGAGCUUUACUGUAGCUUGACAUUGGGUUUUGGUACUACAUGUACAGGAUAGGUGGGAGGCUUUGAAACCAGGACGCCAGUUUUGGCGGAGCCAUCCUUGGGAUACCACCCUUGUAGUACUGGGACUCUAACCAUAGGCCAUGAAUCUGGUCUUGGGACACUGUCAGGUGGGCAGUUUGACUGGGGCGGUCGCCUCCCAAAAGGUAACGGAGGCGCUCAAAGGUUCUCUCAGUACGGUCGGAAAUCGUACGUAGAGUGUAAAGGCAAAAGAGAGCUUGAUUGCAAGACAUACAGGUCGAGCAAGGAUGAAAAUCGGACUUAGUGAUCCGGUGGUUCUGCGUGGAAGGGCCAUCGCUCAACGGAUAAAAGCUACCCUGGGGAUAACAGGCUUAUCUCCCCCAAGAGUCCACAUCGACGGGGAGGUUUGGCACCUCGAUGUCGGCUCAUCACAUCCUGGGGCUGUAGUAGGUCCCAAGGGUUGGGCUGUUCGCCCAUUAAAGUGGUACGCGAGCUGGGUUCAGAACGUCGUGAGACAGUUCGGUCCCUAUCCGUCGCAGGCGUAGGAAAUUUGAGAAGACCUGUCCUUAGUACGAGAGGACCGGGAUGGACGUACCUCUGGUGUACCAGUUGUUCUGCCAAGGGCAUGGCUGGGUAGCUAUGUACGGAAUGGAUAAGCGCUGAAAGCAUCUAAGCGCGAAGCCAACUUCAAGAUAAGAUUUCCCACCGUAAGGGUAAGACCCCAGAAAGACUAUCUGGUUGAUAGGUCGAAGGUGUAAGUGCA